rnacentral:lncRNA from 1 species
GUGUUCAGCUGCAAGAAUUUAGUUUGUUUCUUUUUUUUGAAGUCAUAGAUUGUUUUGUGCCAGAAACAGGACAAGUAAUGCUCUAUAACCUUGGCAUAAAAAAUGGUCUAAAUUUCAUAUAGAAGGCCGUGGAAUACUUUGCAUGUGUUCAUUCAAAUAUAUGGAGUUGACCUGUACGUGUUGCUUCUAUGCACACUAUGUUCCAUAUGAAUUUGUAGGAGAGAAUCUCUAUAAUGGUAAUUAAGUAUUGUCGAUAUUUACUCUGUUGCUUUAGGAUCGAACAGCUGGACCUGGAAGCCACGAGAGCUGCCCGAGGAAGAGGGCGAAGGCGCGGGGGUGGAAGAGGGUAUGCCUGUGGUCAUCACCUUCCGAGACGACACGACCCGGCGAUUCAGAUUUAUCUUAUUCCUUGCCUCAACAACAUGCUCUGCUUCUUGAGCUUGCAGGUUCUAGCCUUUCUCUUCUCCUCUUGUUGUCUUGCACUCCGAUCAAGCCAUGGUGCAUAUUGCCUCAGAUUUGCUUAUUUGAGUGUGCUUUUAUACAUAAAUCUUGAUUUGUUUGUUUUUCAUAUUUUUAGGGAUAUGAGGAGAGAACUCUAUUGUUGGCAGUGACUGCAUCAUUUCCACAAGUGAUAUGGUUGAUCUUUGCUAUGUGGACGAUGGCAGGAUCUGUACCUAAGUUUGGAGAUUCUGAAUUAGUAAGAAAACGAUGGCAACCAUUUGAUUGUUUUUUUAUUACUUUAGGAAUAUGAGGAGAGAGCUCUAUUGUUGGCAGGGGCUGCAUCAUUAUCUUUGCUAUGUGGACCGAUGGCAUGAUCUGUACCUAAGGUUGAAGAUUCUGAAUUAGGAAAGAAAAAGAUGACAGCCACUUCGUUUUAGUACAUCAGUUUACUGAAUAAUUCUACGCUUUGAACUGCACGAUUACAGUGACAAUAUAACUAAAUAAUGGAAGAAACUUAAGGCUAGACACCACAUAAAUUUUCUUUUUAUUUGAAUUUAUAAUUAGACACUUGAAUUUAGCUUGAUACAUAUCAUAUGAUACCUUAGAAGCCCAUAUUGUAAAAUUUGACCAGUUCCCAUAAGGCCACAACUGUAUCUUAGUGUAGAAUUUACUUUCUCUUU